rnacentral:tRNA from 1 species
AAGACACUAGUAAAAUUGAUAUUACACCGCUUUGUCAGGGCGAAAUUGCGGGUUUGACCCCCGCGUGCCUUA